CCUACGGGAGGCAGCAGUGGGGAAUUUUGGACAAUGGGCGAAAGCCUGAUCCAGCCAUGCCGCGUGAGUGAAGAAGGCCUUCGGGUUGUAAAGCUCUUUCGGCCGGGACGAAAUCGCACGAGUGAAUAUCGCGUGUGGAUGACGGUACCGGCAGAAGAAGGACCGGCUAACUACGUGCCAGCAGCCGCGGUAAUACGUAGGGUCCGAGCGUUAAUCGGAAUUACUGGGCGUAAAGCGUGCGCAGGUGGUUUUGUAAGCCAGAUGUGAAAGCCCCGGGCUUAACCUGGGAACUGCAUUUGGGACUGCAAGGCUAGAGUACGGCAGAGGGGGGUAGAAUUCCUGGUGUAGCAGUGAAAUGCGUAGAUAUCAGGAGGAAUACCGAUGGCGAAGGCAGCCCCCUGGGUCGAUACUGACGCUCAUGCACGAAAGCGUGGGGAGCAAACAGGAUUAGAUACCCUGGUAGUCCACGCCCUAAACGAUGUCAACUAGUUGUUGGGGGCCUUACCGCCCUUAGUAACGCAGCUAACGCGUGAAGUUGACCGCCUGGGGAGUACGGUCGCAAGAAUUAAACUCAAAUUGAAUUGACGGCUUGAGACGNGCGACGACGACGACGAGGAGGAGG
rnacentral:rRNA from 1 species